AUUGAACGCUGGCGGCAUGCCUUACACAUGCAAGUCGGACGGCAGCGGACCUUCGGGUGCCGGCGAGUGGCGAACGGGUGAGUAAUGUAUCGGAACGUACCUUUCAGUGGGGGAUAACGUAGCGAAAGUUACGCUAAUACCGCAUAUUCUGUGAGCAGGAAAGCAGGGGAUCGCAAGACCUUGCGCUGAUUGAGCGGCCGAUAUCAGAUUAGCUAGUUGGUGAGGUAAAGGCUCACCAAGGCGACGAUCUGUAGCGGGUCUGAGAGGAUGAUCCGCCACACUGGAACUGAGACACGGUCCAGACUCCUACGGGAGGCAGCAGUGGGGAAUUUUGGACAAUGGGGGCAACCCUGAUCCAGCCAUGCCGCGUGAGUGAAGAAGGCCUUCGGGUUGUAAAGCUCUUUCGUCCGGGAAGAAAUCGCAUCAGCUAAUACCUGGUGUGGAUGACGGUACCGGAAUAAGAAGCACCGGCUAACUACGUGCCAGCCGCCGCCGUAACAC
rnacentral:rRNA from 1 species